GGCUAAGCCUCGCCCUCCAGCGAAAUGGAAAAACCCUUGUGUGAGUUCUAGGGACUGAUUUUUACAGAGCCCUCUCCUGACCCGGACUAGUCCCAUUCCUCCCACUGAGCUUCUCAGAGCCCCGAUGGGGUCGAGUUCCUCGCGCUGUGCAGCGGCGAAACUGACUCCUAGGUUGAGCAACUAGCCCGGGGGUCACACAACUGGGGAGUGGCCGAGCCCGGAUUUUAACACGAGUCGUCCGGCCUGCAAAAGCCAGAUUCUCUCUGCUGUUAGCGCUGCGCGCCCAGGGCCGAGGAUUCCGUUCCCUAACAGCGCAGACAGAGAACCGAGGUGCCUGGGCUGUGACUGAAAGACGCAGGCAGGGGCCACCCUUCUCAGGUGGAUGGUGCCUGCGCCUGCGGCCCCUGCGGCAGCUGAGCGUCGGCCGGAGCCGCUGGGGCUGUUACCUGACAACAUCUAAGUGAAGAAGGCAGCUGAGAAGUUUCUCUGCAGACAGAAUGAAAAUGAACAAGCCUUUCUCAGAAGACCAAUUCAGAAAAACAGUCAACUCUUCUGUUUCUAUUCUGUUCUCAAUUUGCUGUGAGACUUUAAGUGAGCUAUUAAACAUCUUGGACCUUAUUAAAAUGGGGUGGUAAUUUCAUAUAGAGUGGGUAUUGUUAAGCCUCCUUGUUUUUAAAUCCAAUCUGAGCGCCACCGCCCCCCCCC
rnacentral:lncRNA from 1 species